UUGUUUUCCAUUUUUUCCUCUCUCUCCCCCUCUCUCUCUCUCUCUCUUUCUCUAGAGAGUGGUAAAGAGAGAGAGAGGUAAAGUGGGAAUAGAGAGAAUAGAGAGAGAAAGAGAGAGAGAGAGAAUAUAUAAAUAGAGAGAGAAUAAAGAGAAUAGAGAACAGUGAGAGAAAGAGAGCACAGUGAUAGAGAGGGUGACAGAAGAGAGAGAGAGAGAGAGAGAGAGAGAGAGAGAGAGAGAGAGAGAGUAGAUGAUGGUGAUGAUGAUGUAAACCUGCUCUAAGUCACGUGACUCCUUAAUAAUAAAUAAUAAUAAUACGGCCGGGCGGCAACACACGCGGGCUCGGCUCUCGGGCGCGCGCCUCGCUCCCGCGCACAGAGCAGGCAGGGUGACGCGCAGUUCGAGCCGCUCGUGCCGGGCGCGCGAUGUGCUGCUGUGUUCGGGUGGAGCGCGCCGUGCACGCGCCCGGGGACGCGGGGUGCGCGCUGCGAUCUCUGGCGCACCGUCUGCGCCGCAUCGGGGACGAGCUGGAGAAGCGGUGGGAGACCGCCGGUCACGAUAAGCGCGACAACAACAACAACAAUAACAGCGGGGGCGAUGACGUCGACCACCAGCCCAAUCCCCGCCGCCGCCGCGCGCCGGAGCCGGGGGGCACGGUGUCCGCGCGGGGCAUGCACCUGCUGUGCACGGCCAUCCAGGUGACUGUGCUCGCGCUGUUUGUGGGAUGGCGACACCUGUAGGGCGCUGCCAGCCUCUCGCGCGCGCCUCAGUGGAGAGAAAAGGGAUGCAACAGACUCCUCCCACUUAUGUCAGAGUUGGGUCUAUCCAAUCAAUGAAGAUGGGCUUGAGGCUUGAAGGGGCUUGAUGGGGCUUGCCCCAGUGCAGGAAGACCACCACCACCAACACCUCCCAGCACCACCAUUACCAGCCUGUGGAAGCCCACCGUCCGCCGCCGCUCACCACCACAACGUACCGUCCGUGUAUGUGAUUAACGAUGUGUGAUGUGUGUGGUUGAGUGUCUGGAUGAUCACAUGAAGCUCUGACGAUCACUUUCUGGUAUCUCUGUCACUUUCAUCAUCAACUCCGAUGAGCACCGGACCCCCGGCCAACCGGGCCUGGUCGCCGGACCCCCGGCUGCACCAGCUGUGACUGGGGCUUGAUGUCAUUGGGUGUGUGUUUGUGGGGUGUGUGUGUGUUUGUUUGAGGUCAGACGUAGUCAGAACCCACCCCCCGCCACCGGCGGCCCACUGGGACACUAAGAAUACUCCGCUGAUGUCAUCGUCCCUCGGCGACAGAGGGGAAAAUGUUGUACCAUAACGGCAACAGGAGCAAUAGGAGUCUCGGCUCUAACCCGACCAUGGAACUGAUUUCUAUUUAUUGCUAUAAAAUAUGCAAAAUGAUCAUAAACGCAGAAAAAAAAAAAAAAGUCGAAAUUGCAUAAAUUGAACAUCAUCACGAGUCACGAGCGUUCAGAGGAGAACCGCCUACCAACGGACUGUUACCAAAACCUUCUCCCCUGCUUAUUGCACUGUAACCUUCUGUAAUAAGCUGAAUUUAGACUGUAUGGUUUACUUUUUCACUUCAUUUCUACGAUUUCUUACCAUCAUCUUCACGUGCACUACUGGGCAAAAGUUUUAAAAGGCCUGCGUUUCUUCUCUUCACAGUAGAAACAAAUUAACAAAUGAAAUUUUGCAACCAUCGUCUGCACAGUAGAGAUCAUAGGUGGAGCCAGACUCGCCUAAUUCCUCCAAACCAAGUGUCUCAGGCUGCCUUCAUUGAUUUUACAGCACAGCAUAGUGCCUGGUUCACAAUACACUACACUACACUACUGGUUGUGCUGUAAUCGCAAGUCUUUUAGUUGGUGUGUUUUUUUUUUUUUUACACAUACAUGACUGAUCGGUGACAAGAGCUAAACACGCGUGAGAACAAGCGAUGCCAUGUAGAAAAUACAUUGGUAAGCCCUGUGGUUCUCUCUGUAUGCGAUCCCUUUUUCUUUAGGUAGUCACUGCUCUUAACUCAGUUAUAGACUCUAGCUACCUGCUAGAUGUUUGCCUGACCAAAAAAAAAGACCAAAAGCAAAGUAUAUUUUUCCACUGGACACCCAAUACACAAUCACACCACAUGAUCAUUAAUGCUAUGAUUAACUGGUUGCUUGACAGCUUGAGAACAACUCAGCUCCAAGAAAUCUUUGACAAGGUAACCCUGCCACAGGUCUGGUGCCUCUGCUGGCUGGUUGCAGUAUGACAUGUAGCCCUACCUAGUGCUAAGCGAUUUUCACGAUUAAUUUGGAUAAUUCGAGUUACAGUUUGAAUGCGAUUUUCAAAAUGGAGUAAUCAUGACUUUACAUAUUUACAAACAGAUAUUUUAUCUUUUUAAUCUAGAAUAUCUGAAAACGCAACUAAUUUCUGAAGUCUUUCUGUCUUACCUUGGUCCAGUACUUUAGACUUUUUUUUUUACAUGGAAAAACUAGUUUUAAACCAUUUCUUUGUCAUCCGUAGUUAGAUUUUUUUUUUUAGGCCAUAAUCACCCAUCACUAGCCCCUCCCCAUUUUUAAAAUCUCAUGCAGGACCUGCAUUGCACCAUUUCUGUUCAUUACACUGAGAAAUGAGUUGAAAAACUGCAUUUAAAACUGAUUAAAAAACAUUACACUUACUGAACAAACUUUAAAGCCAUUGGGAAAAACCUGCUGUGCUUCUGUGCUGUAAACUCAAUGAAGGCAGUCUGAGACAGGCAUGGUCUGGAAGAAAGAUGAGUAGGUGAGUCUUGUUCUGAUUGUAGAUUUGACCCAUGCAAAUUAAUGUUAUCAUAGUGUGUUUUUAAGCUUUUUUCUUUGUUUUCAAAUUGCAAACCACUAAUCUGUUUACGUAAAGAAGAAAUCCUAUCUAAAAUUGACUUUUGGUGUAGUAAAAUAAUUGAUAAAGAGUAUAAACCUUUGUUCAAUAGGACACAUCCCUUCUCCUGCAGCUUUCUGAGAUCCACAAUUUUUUAGCAGUUUCUCCAACACGCUUUAGAAUGGAUGAUAUGGGGCAUAUUUUGCCCUGAUAAAUUGCUUUUUUUUUACCGUUAUCCAGACUCAAAGUAGCUCCACACCUCAUUGGUAGAACCCGGAGAGCCCUGACAUUUAAAACGAGGCAUUAAGAACUUUUAAAACACUGUUUACAACCAGUAGCGGCACCUGGAGAAUAGGUUACGCUACAGGUUGUAAACAGUGUUUUUAAUAGACUUCUGUGCCGUUUUUAUGUUCUACAUGCCUCGUUUUAAAUGCAAGAGCUCUCCGGAUUCUACCAAUGAGGUGUGGAGCUACUUUGAGCUACUGAAUAACGGUGUAAAAAACGAUUUACCUGCAGGGGCAAAAUAUGCCCCAAUAUCAUUAAUUCUAAAGCAUGUUUGAAGAAACUGUUAAAGCUCCACUAGGUUGGAUUGAGAUUUUGUGCUUGCGGGCUCCCCCUACAGUUGCAGAGUGUAAUAAAUGUUUCAGGCUGAUUAGUUUCUCUUUCUCGUUUUCUGGCUUUCACAGACAUGUUCGGUCUCUUUCCAGCUUCUGUCAGAGUGUCCGUAUUUAAGUUUGUAAAGAAUGAACCAGUAGUCCUUGUAGAACUGUUAGAACUAAAGGUCGGAAAGCAGGUCGCAGUUCUCGCGAGCGUUGGUCGCGGCCGCCUCGGAAAACUUACAGAGUCUGGUUUGAGCUCAGAGGAGCUCCGGCACAGACACGAGAGCACCGCUAUUCCUCCUAUUACACCUCAAUGCAGCGCUGCAGUGAGUUUCAAGCUGUAAUUUCACUUCUUUAUAAGGAUCAAAGAAAAAUCAAGAAAACCCUACCUAGUGCUGCAUUAAAAAGUACUGAAUCUCAGAAAGCUAUAGGUUAUUAGGCUAUUAACAAAGGUUAGUACAGUACUCUUUAUCAUGUUUUACUACACCAAAAGUAAAUUUUACACCAGAGUUUUAAGAUUCCUUUUUUAAAAUGUUUUUACUACAUUUUUCCAAUGUAAAAAAGCUCAGACAAUUUAUUACUCACCUUAUGAUUACCCCUUCAUUUAACUCCCUGAACUUAAAAUACUUAAAUGUGAAUAAAAACUGUAAAAAUCAAAAAUUAGAGCAGGUCCUACAACUUUUGUCCAGUAGUGUACUGCGACGUUCCUCUUUAAUAUGAUGCAUAUUUGUACUGUAGAACUGUCUGAGGUGUACUUCGGCCUUCAGUAGGUGUUUACAAACGGAGACAAAUCUUUUCUCUAGAGCUUUCUCUCUAAAGGGCUUUGACUGGUCGUUGGUCGCAGUGUUACUGUAGAAACGUUUCCGUACGAAAUGACACGUAAUAAUACUAAUACUACGCAUAAUGUGAAUCUAAGGGCAUGCUACUGAUGUUUACAUAAGCUACAAUCUUUUAUAUACACUGGACUAUUAUGAUUAUUAUGAUUAUUAUUAUGAACAGCUAGCAGUACUGUGUGUUUUUAUGAUUAAAUGAUGUGUUUUACCUCUGCUAUUUUGAUAUUGUGACUUGGUCAUUUAUGAAAAUAAACGGAAUUUUAAAUUUA